UACGUAGGGGGCAAGCGUUGUCCGGAUUUAUUGGGCGUAAAGAGCGUGUAGGCGGCCAGACAAGUCUGCUGUGAAAACUCGAGGCUCAACCUCGAGCUGUCGGUGGAAACUGUCUGGCUAGAGUCCGGAAGAGGAGAGUGGAAUUCCUGGUGUAGCGGUGAAAUGCGCAGAUAUCAGGAAGAACACCUAUGGCGAAGGCAGCUCUCUGGGACGGUACUGAGGCUGAGACGCGAAAGCGUGGGGAGCGAACAGG
rnacentral:rRNA from 1 species